UACGUAGGGUGCGAGCGUUAAUCGGAAUUACUGGGCGUAAAGCGUGCGCAGGCGGUUAUUUAAGUCAGGUGUGAAAGCCCUGGGCUUAACCUAGGAAUUGCGCUUGAGACUGGAUAGCUUGGAGUGCGGCAGAGGGAGGUGGAAUUCCGACGUGUAGCAGUGAAAUGCGUAGAGAUGUGGAGGAACACCGAUGGCGGAAGGCAGCCUCCUGGGCCAGCACUGACGCUCAUGCACGAAAGCGUGGGGAGCAAACAGG
rnacentral:rRNA from 1 species